GCCAUAUUACUUUUAAGCCGUACGUAUCAUGGCUUGGUAUAUCUGCAAUAUUGUAAUCUUGGGAACCAAUAAAAAAAAGAAAAAAAAGGAAGAAAAGUAUACCUGUAUGGGAUAGUGAUCAGAUAUACUGUAAAGCUGAUGGUUAUCUAUGGCGUAACCAAUGACAUUACAUCUAUGCUCUAUGUGACAUUCAAU